rnacentral:rRNA from 1 species
GCAAACUCCGUGCCAGGAGCCGGGGUAAGACUGAGGGGUAAAGCGUUAACUGGAAUUACUGGGCGGAAAGCGCACGCAGGCGGUUGGAUAAGUUAGAUGUGAAAGCCCUGGGCUCAACCUAGGAAUAGCAUUUCGAACUGGCGAACUAGAGUCUUGUAGAGGGGGGUAGAAUUCCAGGUGUAGCGGUGAAAUGCGUAGAGAUCUGGAGGAAUACCGGUGGCGAAGGCGGCCCCCUGGACAAAGACUGACGCUCAUGCACGAAAGCGUGGGGAGCAAACAGGAUUAGAUACCCGAGUAGUC